GAACCGCGAUAUGCAAUGCGAUCCGCAGCCUUUGUGAAUCAUCUGAUCCUUGAACGCAUAUGGCACUUCAUACCUGGUUACAGGUAUGAGGUACACCUGUUUGAGAAUUUAUUUUUCUCUUAUCCUUUUUUUUCUUCUGCUUCAGUGCGUUGGAAAGUAGGGGUAGAUAAUGAAGAUCCAUUUUUUUUUGUUAUGAAGAAUGGUGAUUCGAAAUGGAGAGAUACGAAUGAAAAUCGUACCACAACAAAAAACUAUAGAGUGACACACUUUUAUACGUUUGAUGUUGUUGCAUGUCGAUCUUCAACAUUUUUUUGCCUCAAAAACAAAGAGAUGCCAAAAAUUCAUGUCUUACAAAAUGACGAAAAAUACUUUAAAACUUAAUCUCAAAUCAGGUGAGAAU
rnacentral:misc_RNA from 1 species